UAAUAAGUGUUUCAUGGCACUUUUUAAAUCCAUAUCCACCUUGUGUGCAAUGUCAGUCGAUCUUCUUCAUGGAGAUCGACCAAACAUCAACCUUUAUCUUUUAACUCUUUGUCUGAAAAUAUUAUGAAUAAACAAUUCAAAAUA
rnacentral:misc_RNA from 1 species